rnacentral:rRNA from 1 species
AUAGCGUAUAUUAAAGUUGUUGCAGUUAAAAAGCUCGUAGUUGAAUCUAGUAGUGUCCGUUGGGGUUGUCGUUGGCGUUUAUUCGUCUCUGGCGUUAAUUCACGGCCGAUUUUUGCUUGUUUGCUGUUGGUCUUCGGAUCUUCGGUGGCUAGCGAGUUACUUUGAUCAAAUCAGAGUGCUCAAAACAGGCGAAAGCUUGUAUGAUUUCUCGAGGAAUAACAGAAGAGGACUUCGGUUCUAUUUGUUGGUUCCAGAAUCGUUUAAUGGUUAAGAGGGACAAUUCGGGGGCAAACGUAUCCUCGCGCUAUGGGUGAAAUCCGUAGACCGUGAGGAGACGAACAAUAG